rnacentral:lncRNA from 1 species
UCUCCCCCAAUUCACUCUCCUCUAGAGACCAAAUCUCAUCAAACAAUAAAUCACCGCUCCUAAAUCACACCGCCUUAGGGUGGUGACGCCACCACCAAAUAGCCCAAACUAACACCUUGAAGCCCCCACGACCUCCUCUCUCGAAAUUCCUAACCCAUACCCAUCGAAACAUUACCGACUCCAUCAAAUCUGGAAUCUAGGGAUAGGAUCUGAAGCCCCCAAGAGGUCACACUAUCGAUCUUUGAUCCCAUGGCUUGCAUGGGUGCCUACACAUGAUCUUCUGAAUAUUAAAGUUUGUUUAAACAUGAAAGUGAUGUUGUUCAGUUAUUUUUACAAAGAACAAUCGGGUAACAUCGGUCUUCGUUUAAGUCAGCAUUUCAAUUAGGUUUCGAGCCGUAAUUUGGUAAGUUCUUCCUCCCCUCUUGUGAUUUUCUUUCACUGUUUUAUCUUCAUCUUCAUUCUUUUUCUUUUGGUUUGGUCGAAAUUUGUUUGGGUUUGAUAAGUUCAAACUGGUUCCUCUUCUUUUAUUUUAGUUGUAAAAGCUGGAUUAUCUGAGUUCUUUAAUCCACCUUGUUUUGUUUGUCAAAGUCUUUGUGUUAAUAUCAUAAUUAUUGUUUCGUCAUCAGUUUAAUCACCAAGAUAAUUAAAUUAGUUCCAUAAUUUAGUUAAAUUAAUGUUGUGAAAUUAGAUUGCUUAGUUCAUUCAUGUUGCAAUUGUUUCGGUUGGUUUUAAUGAAAUAAUUCCAGGCUUCUUUAUUUGGGAAAAUUUUGGGUUAGCUCUAAUCUGUGGUCCCUAGGUGUUUUAAUUUGUCUUCAUAUCAAAAGGCCUAAAUAUAUAUUUAAUUUGGUUUCUGCAGACCCAUUAGUUUGGUCGGUUGACCCGGGUUGGAUUUAACGACAAAUAACAGUAGGUAAAUGGGUAAUUUUGGAUAAUUGCUUAGGGGAAUCUUUCUAUAACUUAUUAGGAAGCUUCUGAGAAUCUGACUUUGGGAUUGUUUUGAAACUCUAAACACUAAAUAGGGAUACCAAGGAAAAUAUAAAAACAUGAAAUGGGCUAAAAUGAGAAUCUGAUUUCUCUAUUGUUGCCCGAUUGCCUUGCUUAUAAAGGCAUCUCAUUCUUUCCUAACAAGGAAGGGAUUCAGAGAUAAAAAUUGAGAAAAAAGCAAAACGGCUGAAAAUUAAAGUGAAAUUACUAAUUCAUUGAAAUUCUUUUUGUGAUUUCUUAAGUUUCCUAUUCCUUUUGUGGUUUUGAAGUUUUCUUGGGUUAUUGUUCGAGGAGGUUGCCUUCUAUUGUUUUCACAAUAAUUUUUAUUGAGUUGAUGUUUCUAAUGUUGGCUUGCUACUGUUCAGCCAUUGAGCCAUCAUUUUUUGUCCUGCUUUCGAAUUCCAGGUAUUCCUCUUAGCUCAAUGAACAAUGGCUAGGUGCUGACCAUGUAACUCAGUGAAUUUGGUGGAAUACAAGGUGUAUUUGACUCAAUUCUUCUCUAUUCCUCUGUUGUUUCAUAUUGUGUAGUGAGGCUAUAAUUAUAGGCAUUAGAUAAGUUGUUGUUUGCAUGAUAUGGAUCUAGGUUUGUCUUCAUAGUUAAAUGUUUGUUUCAAUAUUAAAUAGCAUAAUUAGAAGGUAUACAACGUGGGUUUGUAGAUGUUUUCUGUUAGACAAAUUAACCAUAGACUUUAACUUUCAGCUUUAUCUUUAUUUCGUGUUCUGGGUCGCUGAUUUGUUUAAUUUCUGCUAAAGAUCAGGGAAUUUUAGUCUUGAAGACUAUUUAUAUUUAUGGGAGUGAUAAGUAUGAGCUUGUAUGUAUUUUCUCGAAUUCUGUUUGUAGACAUGUUCAUUUGAAGUUAAAGUCCAGAUGCAUAUUGAAACUAGUUAAAAAUUAAUUUCAAGCAUAGUGAUUAGAUGUUACUUGAUCUAAAUAUUUUGAUUCAAGGUGUUCUUUUAUUUAUCUCAUGUUUAGAGUAAUAAAAAUUAGAAAUUUGGGUAGGUGAUAAGUGUCUUAUUGUUUUUUUAAAUCAUGAGAUUAUUUUGUUAAAUCAGUCUUAAUGUUCCCAGUUUGGUAUCAGUGAUUGGAAUUUGAGUUGGCACAAUAAUUUGGGAUAUAAUUUCUAUGUUAAAGCUAUUUGGGCUCACAAGGACUCGAUUCCGAGUUCUUGCAUUCGCAGUUGCACUAUGUUUGCCAAAUUGGACCUUCUUUUUGUGUUUGGAUUAAGUCAGUUUAAGAAUAGUGAUUCGCUAGAAUUUGAAAUUGGAAUAAGUCAUUGGGAUCAUUGGGCCCAGGCUUGACGUUGUCGAAAAUUAAUUAUUGAGCAAAAUAAUCCUUUAAUUCGGGGUAUCCUAGGUAGUUAAUGGGUUUGUAAUUUUCUUUAAAUGAAUAGAAGUUCCACGACUUUUGUUAGUUAAUUAAUUGGUUUCUCUGUCACAACCCAAACCAAUGGGCCACGAUGGGCACCCGGUACCUUACUUGAUCGAGGACCAACAUAGCAUAUCUUUCUUAGUACAUCAUCAUAUACACAUGACAUACGGGCCUAAUAGGCCAACAUAAUACUUAUAAACUCAAAACAUAGGCCAACAAGGCCUUACAAUCAUUCACGUAUGUGAUAUAUGUCUGCAAGCCUUUAAGAGUAUAUAAAUGUCAUAAAGGUAAUGACAAAGUAUCGACUUAUUAAAUAAUAGACUCUAAAUCAUACUAACCAAACGAGCAACUCCGAAGCAAAUGGAGCACACCAACAUCUUCCGCUGAGCUGAUAGCCUACUUGGAGGGCUCUCGAUCUGUCUAUCGGGACCUGGGAGAUUAAAUGCAACAGCCCCAGGCAAAAAGAAUGUCACUAUGAAUAAUGUAAAGAGUAUGUAAGGCACAUAAGUAAAUACAUAUGAGACAUGGAAGAACAAUAGAGUACAUGACUCAGCCUAUAAGUCUGAAUAACUUUGUAAAUCAUAAAUUACGUUUAACAUCAUGCAUAUGCGUAUCAAGACAUGUCGUGCAUAGGUACAUGUUUCAUAACAUCAUCAGCUUCUUCGGGCAUCCCAACAUAUCAUAUUGGUCACUGUGGGAAAAGUCAUCAUCGUAUACCAGCUGAUCAGAUAGUUGUGCGUAUAUAACGCCAUAACCUUUCCCAUAUCCCAUAUAUAUAUACAUAUAUAUGUGUGUGUGUGUGUGUGUGUAUGUGUGUGUGUAAUGCCAUUUGAAUCAUAUUUACAUAUAUAUGCAUAUAUAAUGUCGUUUGAAUCAUAUUGUAGCCACUGUGGGCAACAUAAUCAUCAUAUACUAGCUGAUAAGGUGGUGAUGUGUGUGAGUAUAUACAUAACAUUGUCUGAGUCAUGGGUGAAUGUACACGUAUUAAUGCAUGAAAUGCAAAUGAAAUAUGAUAACAAAAUUGGUAUUUCAUAAGAUCAUUAUACCUAUGAUUAAUAUCAUAAAAUAAUUUUACGUAUUUUCUGAGACCCACAAACAGAUGAUGGAACAAUAUGACAUAUGGAGAUUUAAGAACAUAGACACUUCUAAUACUUCUAUGAAUUAAAUCAUUUAUGGAAGUUGUGCAUUUGUAUGUUCCGUUCAUAUCAUAUGGAUCAUGCUAAAAGAAUAUAAGGGAUACACUUAAUAUACCUGGAGUAGGAACAACUCCAUAUAAUUUCGGUAUGAACGUACGAUGGAAUAAUAAGACAUAUGGAGAUUCAAAAUAUAGGCACUUGUAAUACUUCUAUGAAUAGAAUCAUUUAUGGAAUUUAUGCAUUUAUAUAUUUCGUUCGUGUCGUAUGGAUCAUGCCAAUAGAAUAUAAGGGAUAGCCUUAAUAUAUCUGGAGUAGGAACAACUCCAUAUAAUGCCAGUCCAAAGUUGAUUUCGCUAGUUAGAGUGACGAUUUGAUGCCGGAUAUUGAUAAAUUUAGUGUGGUUAGACUCAUGCGUGAAUGGGCUAUUGAGUUUUAUGACUUUUUUGGAUUUCGAGGCAUGGGCCCAGGAGCCAACGUUUGGUCAAUUUUGGAUUUGGCAUAGAAUUUUGUAUUGUUAUUAUGGAAUUGAUUCCUUUAUCCUGUAUUUAUUUGUAUUGUAUAUAUUUUGGACAUAUUCGAGAUAUUUAGAGACUGACUUGCGAGGCUAAGGCGUAUUACAGUAGUGUCUUGACUCGGAUUGGGGUACGUAACAGUGCUAAAUCUUGUUUUGAGGGUACGAGACCUCAGAUUUUGUGUUAUGUGAUGAUUGAAGGUGACACACAUACUAGAUGACGGGCGUGUGGGCGUGCACCGUAGGAAUUGUGACCUGGUCCAUGCCGUGAAACUAUAAAUUUAAGCAAUUUGUUGUUAGCUAUACGCUCUCCGUGUGUUAUAGAAAUUUGAAUGUAAAUCAUGUUAGAAAUCAUGUUUAGGCAAUGAGUUGGUACUUUAGUGAUCCACAGAGGCCGUGAUACUUGUUGAAUUACUUGCUAACUUCUACUUGUACUUAGUCGUAGUUACAUGCACAUUUUUACCUCAGUCUCUGUUAUUCCUUGUUGAUACAUUAUAUUAUUUUUGUUUUUGUCUGAUACUAUGAUUUUGAGGGCUUGUGAGACUAGAGAGGUUGAUGACUGAGUGAGGCUAAGGGCCUGACUAUGAGAUAUUGAUACCUUAACACGUGAGUUAUCCAUGCAGAUCUAGAUAUCUAUACUAUAGCACGUGAGUUGCCCAUGCAUAUUAUAGCGCUUGGGCUGAAGAAGCUCUUCCAUAAUAUAUACAUCUCUAUUGGGCGUAAGUACCUAUUGAGUGUGAGUGUUGAAGUCUGAGAAUCGAGUGAUGAGCUAUUGAGAAAGACUGAGUGAUUGUUUCCCGGAGAGGUUGUAUAUAUUUUAAUUGUUGUUGCAUAUAGAUGUUAUAUGUCACUGUUUUUAAUCUUAUGGUAGAUAUUAUAUCCGGUUUUUACUUGAACUUGGCAGGAAUAAGCUGAAUUUAUUUAAAUUGCUGGAUUAAAAGCAUGUCUACUUUCUCUUUGAAACUACUAAAAAUGAAUUAUAAAUAUGUAACUCGUCACUAUAUUUCAAUUCCUUAUUUAUUAUUGUUACUUAUCGAGAUAUUCGUACUCACGCUAUUCCAUGCACUUUAUGUGCAGAUCAUGAUAUGUUCGGGCACGAUGGGCGUUGAUGACAUGCAUGGAUGAUCUUCGGAGAUUUAUGAGGUAGCUGCCCGACGUUCAUAGUCUUUGUUUCUCCUUCCCUGUCUUUUUUUUUCGUUAUAUCUAGAUCUAGAAUUUUAUAGACACUUCAUUUCUUGACUGGUGUUGUAUAAAUGCUCAUGGGCUCAGAGAUACCCCAAUUUGGGAGUUAUUUUCUGCGCUUGUGUUUUGGGUUUUAUCCCUUUUAUGAAAAACUUCUGUUAUUCAAAAUUUCUUAAUUCAUUUUAUGUUAGAUGUUGGAAGUAUUUUGUAAAUAUCGGCUUGCUUAGUGCAACAAUAGGCGCCAUCACAACAGGUUAGGAUUUGGGUCGUGACAGUGAUGGUGUAUAGUAAAAAUACCCCUCGCUAAGCACAAUUAUAUGUGCCUGCACUCAUAUGGCCUAAGAUAACAUAGGUGAUCAUCUGACUCAAUAAG